AAUCCAGGACAGAGCUCGCUCUCCUGAUCAGUUUAUUGAUCCUGCUCCUGUCCCUGUCUGUGCUGCUCCCUCUCCAGCAGACCACAGCAUAGAAUAUGGCUGAGGCCACCACAGAGUCAUAAAAAGUCCUAAGGAGAGUCCCACACACUCCGAAGGACCUCAGUCUCCUCAGCAGGUGGAGGCGACUCUGGCCUUUCUUGUAGAGGGCGUGGGUGUUUGUAGACCAGUCCAGUUUGUUUAAAUUGUAACUAA